rnacentral:rRNA from 1 species
UACGAAGGGGGCUAGCGUUGUUCGGAAUUACUGGGCGUAAAGCGCACGUAGGCGGACUAUUAAGUCAGGGGUGAAAUCCCGGGGCUCAACCCCGGAACUGCCUUUGAUACUGGUAGUCUCGAGUCCGGAAGAGGUGAGUGGAAUUCCGAGUGUAGAGGCGAAAUUCGUAGAUAUUCGGAGGAACACCAGUGGCGAAGGCGGCUCACUGGUCCGGUACUGACGCUGAGGUGCGAAAGCGUGGGGAGCAAACAGG